rnacentral:rRNA from 1 species
UACGUAGGUGGCAAGCGUUGUCCGGAUUUACUGGGCGUAAAGAGCGCGCAGGCGGUCGUUCAAGUCGCGUGUGAAAGCCCCCGGCUCAACUGGGGAGGGUCACGCGAUACUGAUCGACUCGAAGGCAGGAGAGGGUAGUGGAAUUCCCGGUGUAGUGGUGAAAUGCGUAGAGAUGUGGAGGAACACCGAUGGCGAAGGCAGCCCCCUGGGCUGAGAUUGACGCUCAGGCACGAAAGCGUGGGGAGCAAACAGG